CUUUAGCCUUCCAAGCUACUGNUGCGGGUUCGAUUCCCGCUACCCGCU
rnacentral:tRNA from 1 species